rfam:Hordeum vulgare subsp. vulgare, WGS project CAJW01000000 data, contig: morex_contig_45777
AAGCUGAAUGUGAGAUUUGGAUGGAACCAAAUCUUCAGCUAUAAUACAAUGGCACAAGAUUUGGUUUCCUCCAAUAUCUCAUCUUCAACUG